AUGUGGGUCUGUCGAAGGAGGAGGAUAGGUGUAGAUGGAUUAGCCCUGAAAUUAGCCAAGCAUUUCAAGUUUUCAACUGAGGACAGUCUAUUAAGAAAGGUAGGGAUCAUGGCGCUGCUUUGGGCCUUAUGGAAAAACAGGAAUGCCACUUGUUUUAGAAAUAUCUUUCUGUAUGAUCCAAGUAGUCUGAUUGCGCAGAUGGCUCACCGGUUGUCGUGCUGGGUUGGACUUCAGAGAGCAGGUUUGCUGCGACAGAGAGCGCCAAGGGGCAAAGCAGCUGCUGCACUGAUGGCACUAGGUGUAAGUGUCAUCUUCAAUGUUAGGGACCUCAGCUUAUAUCUUCACAUCACCGGGCUGAUGGUUUUGUUUGGAAACCAUACAGAGCUGCAGAAGAUCAGUAGCAUCAAGAACUUGCUUACAUUAUAUACUUAUACUGAAGUUGGGUUGAUCUCGUCUUGA
rnacentral:rRNA from 1 species